rnacentral:rRNA from 1 species
GAUGAACGCUGGCGGCGUGCCUAACACAUGCAAGUCGAACGGAAAGAAUUCUUCGGAAUUCUUUCAGUGGCGGACGGGUGAGUAACGCGUGGGUAACCUGCCCCAUACAGGGGAACAACAGCUGGAAACGGCUGCUAAUACCGCAUAAGCGCACAGUACUGCAUGGUACAGUGUGAAAAGAUUUUAUCGGUAUGGGAUGGACCCGCGUCUGAUUAGCUAGUUGGAGGGGUAACGGCCCACCAAGGCGACGAUCAGUAGCCGACCUGAGAGGGUGACCGGCCACAUUGGGACUGAGACACGGCCCAAACUCC